rnacentral:sRNA from 1 species
UAGCCGUUUGUGCCGGAAUUGAAAUAAUU